rnacentral:rRNA from 1 species
AUUGAACGCUGGCGGCAGGCCUAACACAUGCAAGUCGAGCGGAUGAGUGGAGCUUGCUCCAUGAUUCAGCGGCGGACGGGUGAGUAAUGCCUAGGAAUCUGCCUGGUAGUGGGGGACAACGUUUCGAAAGGAACGCUAAUACCGCAUACGUCCUACGGGAGAAAGUGGGGGAUCUUCGGACCUCACGCUAUCAGAUGAGCCUAGGUCGGAUUAGCUAGUUGGUGAGGUAAAGGCUCACCAAGGCGACGAUCCGUAACUGGUCUGAGAGGAUGAUCAGUCACACUGGAACUGAGGCACGGUCCAGACUCCUACGGGAGGCAGCAGUGGGGAAUAUUGGACAAUGGGCGAAAGCCUGAUCCAGCCAUGCCGCGUGUGUGAAGAAGGUCUUCGGAUUGUAAAGCACUUUAAGUUGGGAGGAAGGGCAGUAAGUUAAUACCUUGCUGUUUUGACGUUACCAACAGAAUAAGCACCGGCUAACUUCGUG